AGUGAACGCUGGCGGCAGGCCUAACACAUGCGAGUCGAGCGGCAGCGCGGGGGCAACCCUGGCGGCGAGCGGCGGACGGGUGAGGAAUUCGUCGGAAUCUGCCUUUUUGUGGGGGAUAACGUAGGGAAACUUACGCUAAUACCGCAUACGUCCUACGGGAGAAAGUGGGGGACCGCAAGGCCUCACGCAGAAAGAUGAGCCGACGACCGAUUAGCUAGUUGGUGGGGUAAAGGCCCACCAAGGCGACGAUCGGUAGCUGGUCUGAGAGGAUGAUCAGCCACACUGGGACUGAGACACGGCCCAGACUCCUACGGGAGGCAGCAGUGGGGAAUAUUGGACAAUGGGCGCAAGCCUGAUCCAGCCAUGCCGCGUGUGUGAAGAAGGCCUUCGGGUUGUAAAGCACUUUUGUCCGGAAAGAAAUCCCUGGAGCUAAUACCUUCGGGGGAUGACGGUACCGGAAGAAUAAGCACCGGCUAACUUCGUG
rnacentral:rRNA from 1 species